rnacentral:rRNA from 1 species
AGUGAACGCUGGCGGUAGGCCUAACACAUGCAAGUCGAACGGCAGCACAGUAAGAGCUUGCUCUUACGGGUGGCGAGUGGCGGACGGGUGAGGAAUACAUCGGAAUCUACUUUUUCGUGGGGGAUAACGUAGGGAAACUUACGCUAAUACCGCAUACGACCUACGGGUGAAAGCAGGGGAUCUUCGGACCUUGCGCGAUUGAAUGAGCCGAUGUCGGAUUAGCUAGUUGGCGGGGUAAAGGCCCACCAAGGCGACGAGCCGUAGCUGGUCUGAGAGGAUGAUCAGCCACACUGGAACUGAGACACGGUCCAGACUCCUACGGGAGGCAGCAGUGGGGAAUAUUGGUCAAUGGGCGCAAGCCUGAUCCAGCCAUACCGCGUGGGUGAAGAAGGCCUUCGGGUUGUAAAGCCCUUUUGUUGGGAAAGAAAAGCAGCAGGUUAAUACCCCGCUGUUCUGACGGUACCCAAAGAAUAAGCACCGGCUAACUUCGUG